rnacentral:rRNA from 1 species
GGGAAUCUACCUUUUGCUACGGAAUAACUCAGGGAAACUUGUGCUAAUACCGUAUGUGCCCUUCGGGGGAAAGAUUUAUCGGCAAAGGAUGAGCCCGCGUUGGAUUAGCUAGUUGGUGGGGUAAAGGCCCACCAAGGCGACGAUCCAUAGCUGGUCUGAGAGGAUGAUCAGCCACACUGGGACUGAGACACGGCCCAGACUCCUACGGGAGGCAGCAGUGGGGAAUAUUGGACAAUGGGCGCAAGCCUGAUCCAGCCAUGCCGCGUGAGUGAUGAAGGCCCUAGGGUUGUAAAGCCCUUUCACCGGUGAAGAUAAUGACGGUAACCGGAGAAGAAGCCCCGGCUAACUUCGUGCCAGCAGCCGCGGUAAUACGAAGGGGGCUAGCGUUGUUCGGAUUUACUGGGCGUAAAGCGCACGUAGGCGGACUUUUAAGUCAGGGGUGAAAUCCCAGAGCUCAACUCUGGAACUGCCUUUGAUACUGGAAGUCUUGAGUAUGGUAGAGGUGAGUGGAAUUCCGAGU